UACGGGGGGGGCAAGCGUUGUUCGGAAUUACUGGGCGUAAAGGGCUCGUAGGCGGCCAACUAAGUCGGACGUGAAAUCCCCAGGCUCAACCUGGGAACUGCGUCUGAUACUGGAUGGCUUGAAUCCGGGAGAGGGAUGCAGAAUUCCAGGUGUAGCGGUGAAAUGCGUAGAUAUCUGGAGGAACACCGGUGGCGAAGGCGGCAUCCUGGACCGAAACUGACACUGAGGCGCGAAAGCCAGGGGAGCAAACGGG
rnacentral:rRNA from 1 species